rnacentral:rRNA from 1 species
UAAUACAGAGGGUGCGAGCGUUAAUCGGAGUUACUGGGCGUAAAGGGCGCGUAGGCGGUUGUAUAAGAUUGAUGUGAAAUCCCUGGGCUUAACCUAGGAACUGCAUCGAUGACUGUACGACUAGAGUACUGUAGAGGGUAGUGGAAUUUCCGGUGUAGCGGUGAAAUGCGUAGAGAUCGGAAGGAACACCAGUGGCGAAGGCGGCUACCUGGACAGAUACUGACGCUGAGGCGCGAGAGCGUGGGGAGCAAACAGGAUUAGAUACCCUGGUAGUCCACGCUGUAAACGAUGAAAACUAGAUGUUGGUCAGCGAGACUGAUUAGUAUCGAAGCAAACGCGAUAAGUUUUCCGCCUGGGGAGUACGACCGCAAGGUUA